GGGCAACCAUGAUGACUUAUUAACUCCUGUAUGUAAUAUAUUUACAUCAUGAAGACAACAGUCCCUCUAAGCUGAUGUUGCCC